rnacentral:rRNA from 1 species
UGGGGAAUUUUGGACAAUGGGCGCAAGCCUGAUCCAGCAAUGCCGCGUGCAGGAUGAAGGCCUUCGGGUUGUAAACUGCUUUUGUACGGAACGAAAAGGCUCUGGUUAAUACCUGGGGCUCAUGACGGUACCGUAAGAAUAAGCACCGGCUAACUACGUGCCAGCAGCCGCGGUAAUACGUAGGGUGCAAGCGUUAAUCGGAAUUACUGGGCGUAAAGCGUGCGCAGGCGGUUUUGUAAGACAGUGGUGAAAUCCCCGGGCUCAACCUGGGACCUGCAUUUGUGACUGUAUAGCUAGAGUACGGUAGAGGGGGAUGGAAUUCCGCGUGUAGCAGUGAAAUGCGUAGAUAUGCGGAGGAACACCGAUGGCGAAGGCAAUCCCCUGGACCUGUACUGACGCUCAUGCACGAAAGCGUGGGGAGCAAACA